rnacentral:miRNA from 10 species
AGUAGAGACCGGGUUUCACCAUGUUGGUCAGGCUGGUCUCAAACUCCUGACCUCAGGUGAUCCACCCACC